GAUGAACGCUGGCGGCGUGCCUAAUACAUGCAAGUCGAGCGAACAGACGAGGAGCUUGCUCCUCUGACGUUAGCGGUGGACGGGUGAGUAACACGUGGAUAACCUACCUAUAAGACUGGGAUAACUUCGGGAAACCGGAGCUAAUACCGGAUAAUAUAUUGAACCGCAUGGUUCAAUAGUGAAAGACGGUUUUGCUGUCACUUAUAGAUGGAUCCGCGCCGCAUUAGCUAGUUGGUAAGGUAACGGCUUACCAAGGCAACGAUGCGUAGCCGACCUGAGAGGGUGAUCGGCCACACUGGAACUGAGACACGGUCCAGACUCCUACGGGAGGCAGCAGUAGGGAAUCUUCCGCAAUGGGCGAAAGCCUGACGGAGCAACGCCGCGUGAGUGAUGAAGGUCUUCGGAUCGUAAAACUCUGUUAUUAGGGAAGAACAAAUGUGUAAGUAACUAUGCACGUCUUGACGGUACCUAAUCAGAAAGCCACGGCCAACUACGUG
rnacentral:rRNA from 1 species